rnacentral:tRNA from 1 species
UCUCCAGUGGUCCAGUGGUUAGGAUUCUGGGCUUUCAAUGCAGGGAGUGCAGGUUCAAUUCCUGCUCAAAGAA